AGCGUUGUAGCUCAAUGGAUGAGCAACCCAUUUUUAUUUAGGGGAAGGGCAUGAGUUCAAUUCUCAUCAACGGUA
rnacentral:tRNA from 1 species